CCUUUACCUACCGAAAUCCUAUGAAACGGCCCUACCCUUAUCUCCCUUCACUGACUCUCUUUUCAGACUCAGCCUGCCUGCACCCAGGUGAAAUAAACAGCCAUGUUGCUCACACAAAGCCUGUUUGGUGGUCUCUUCACAUGGACGUGCAUGAAAUUUGGUGCCGUGACUCAGACUGGGGGACCUCCCUUCGGAGAUCAAUCCCCUGUCCUCCUGCUCUUUGCUCCGUGAGAAAGAUCCACCUACGACCUCAGGUCCUCAGACCGACCAGCCCAAGAAACAUCUCACCAAUUUCAAAUCCAGACUCCACUGGAAAUCGGACUGUUCAACUCACCUGGCAGCCACUCCCAGAGCCCCUGGAACUCUGGCCCAAGGCUCUCUGACUGACUCCUUCUUGGCUUAGCGGCUGAAGACUGAUGCUGCCUGAUCGCCUCGGAAGCCCCGUAGACCAUCACGGAUGCCGAGCUUUAGGUAACUCUCACAGCGGAAGGUAUACGCCCAGAUGGCCUGAACUAACUGAAGAAUCACAAAAGAAGUGAAAAUGCCCUGCCCCACCUUAACUGAUGACAUUCCACCACAAAAGAAGUGUAAAUGGCCGGUCCUUGCCUUAAGUGAUGACAUUACCUUGUGAAAGUCCUUUUCCUGGCUCAUCCUGGCUCAAAAAACACCCCCACUGAGCACCUUGCGACCCCCACUCCUGCUCGCCAGAGAACAAACCCCCUUUGACUGUAAUUUUCCUUUACCUACCCAAAUCCUAUAAAACGGCCUUACCCUUAUCUCCCUUCGCUGACUCUCUUUUCGGACUUAGCCCGCCUGCACCCAGGUGAAAUAAACAGCCAUGUUGCUCACACAAA
rnacentral:lncRNA from 1 species